UCUGUUGAAAGAGGGAAGUGUGGUGCCUGAAGCACUGAAAAGCAUGCGGGAGAAGGUGAUAACAAGGCUCAGGGAAAACCGAGGCAAGAAGAGAAGUCCUGUUGCAUAGAAAGAGAGAGCUCAGAAACUGGAAUUAGAUGCCCUGGGUUCACAUCUUGGCUCUGCGUCUUAAAAGUUACAAGACUGAAUAAGAUAGACAUGACCUCCUUCCUCCUGGACCUGACAAUUGUUCCUUCAAAUCACUUCCACACAUGCAUUGCCUGGGGACUGGGGACUGGGGUCUGGAUCCCAUGGCCAGACCAAACCCCAAAGAAGCUAUUGGAGAAUACACACCUUCGAAAUGCGGAGAAAUAUAAGAAAAGGAAGACAAGAGUUCAAGAAGCCAGGCAUCCAACAAUAAUAACUAAAGAGGCAAGGUAAUUCUCAGGAUGAUGUAACAGAAAGUCCAGACUGGUGAAUGACAAUGAAGAACUACAAGAGGUUUGUACUCUGAAAAGAAGAAGGAAAAAAGUGGAACUCACAGUUUGUCUAAAGUUUUUGACCAUGUUUCAAGGAAGUAUAUGGUUCUGUGCAAAGUUAGCAAAAGGUACAUUAAAAAAAUGAGAAAACAACAAAAUCAGGCAAUUACCAACUAAAAGUAUAAAGAAUUUGGUACAAAAAAGGAAAUUAAUAAUACACUACAUGCUAACUUGUUAACAAUUUUUACAUAGUACCAAUACAAUAAAUACAAUGUUAAUUUCAAACUGCAAUUAAUUAUGCUGGAAGGAUGUGGGAGUGUUAAGAGAGUUAAAUUAAAAUCUUCAUAACAGGAAGUCAACAGAUAAUACCUACUGAAUAUUUCUACUUUUUGGAGGGAUGUUGGGUUGGGGAACUACUGUUUCAUUUCCUUAAAGUACUAUUUGGCUUUUUAAAUUGCCUGUACACAUGCAUAUGCAUACAUAGUCUAAAGUUAAAUUUUUAAAACCACAUAUAAAAGCCAUGUGGGAAAAGAAUUAUUGUGAAUGCUUAGUAAAAGAAUGUAUGCACAGCACAUAAUACAAUGUUGAUACAUCAUAGAGUAUUAAUAAAGUCCCCAAGAUUUGCCUGCUUGGGAUAGUCUUAUUAACAAAAGUUAAUCUUGUUAAUAAAACAGUCAACAAAUAUAUAAAUCUUUACUCAUCAGUCCCUAGUAAAAUUUUCCAACUGUUGUGGAAGAUAUAAAGAAAUAUGAAACAUAAUCCUUACAUUAAAAUACCUUCUAAUAAGUUAUGGCAGUUAAUAUUUAAUUGGUGUUAUAUGUACAGUAGGCACUGUCCCAAGUUCUUUACAUAUUAUCUCUUUUAAUUCUAUGAGAUAGACAUUAUUAUCUCCAUUUUAUUAUAUAAAUGAGGAAACUGAGGCACACUAAAAUGAAGUAACUUGUCCAGGUCAUGGAGCUCAUAAGAGAGGGAGGUAGGAUUCCAGUCCAAGCAGAAGGCGAGGGAGUCUCAGAUUGCUUUAUAAUCUAAUUGAGGGGAAGAAGAAACAGAGCUAAACAACCUUAUAUGAUUUAAGGAGGAGUUCAACAUAAUACUGGAAGAGAUGUCACAAACUAAUGCAAGCAUACUUUAGGGGAAAUUGCUGUAUUACACUAGGAGAUCAGAAGAGAGUGCAAACCCUUCAGACUGAUAGCCAAGGAAGCAUUUAAUUGGACCAGCUGGCUGGGGAGGGCAUUCCUUGUAAGUGAAUCAACACGCAGAGGUGGUAACCAUAGCAUGCCAGGGAUCAGCGAGGAAGGUAAUUUGACUAGAGCAUAGCACAUUUUGUUCAUCCACAAAUAAAACCUGUGAGAUCAAAGCAGGAAAGGCCUAAUAACAAAUUAUAAAUGGCCUUGAAAGCAGACUAAGAAGCUUGGACUUUAUUUUGUGAAAACGGGAAGUGAUUGCUGAGCAUGUGCACUUAAUCUGGACAUUGUACAUGUAAUCAGCUGACAGGAAGAGAACAAGUAACGGCUUAUUGUGGCAGUCUGGAUAAGAUUUAUCAAAAUCUCAAACUAGCCUGGGGUAAGUGAGAGUGGAAUUGGCUGGAUCCUGGAUGAGAAGUCCCACAAGGACUUACAGAAACAAUUUGCAUUUUAUCUUUCUACCAAGGAGAAAAGUUUUUCAAACUACAAAGGCUAGAUAUAAUUAAAAGGGAAUUAAAUUUCAAAAAGUUCAAGUAAGAGUAUCUGCUUUGAAAAAAUGAGUUUCUAGGUUUCAAUAAGUUACAACAUAGCAUAAUCAAAUACUUAACUAUUAUGAUUAUGAAUUGGCUGGCAGGAUUUCUUUUAAAAUGAAAGUAAAGCUUUCUAGAUGUAACAAUAAAGCAUGCUCAAUAUGGAAAAAAUAUACAAAGAAAAAAAUCAGCAAACUUAUUCACAUACCCUUAGUUUGGUUAUUUUUUUUCAGUCUUUUCUAUGAAUAACUUUGUUUCCAUGUUAAUACAAAGUUACAAUUGAUUAUCAUAUUAUAUAUAGAAGAUAUAAUUUUCUUCUUGCUUAAACAUUUUAAUAAAACAUUUUUCAGUCUUUUCUUUGAAUAACUUUGUUUCCAUGUUAAUACACAGUUACAAUUGAAUUUUCUUCUUGCUUAAACUUUUUUUUUUUUUUUUUUUGAGAUGGGGUCUCACUCUAUCGCCCAGGCUGGAGUGCAGUGGCCCGAUCUUGGCUCACUGAAAACUCCGCCUCGCAGGUUCAUGCUAUUCUCCUGCCUCAGCCUC
rnacentral:lncRNA from 1 species